AGGCAGGCAGGCAGGCAGGCAGGCAGGCAGGCAGGCAGGCAAGCCAAAGGCGGAACCAAGAUUACUUUAGAAUUCAGCAAAUUAGUCUAAUUUGCUUCGUGUUUCAGUUCACAUCCCAGUUUAAAUAUAGUAUGUAUUUAAUAUGAUGUGCAGUCAUAUUUUAACACCUUCCAACUGUGAAGACUUUGCAAUUCUAGUAGAAAACAGGCCAUAAAUUAGCCUGAGGUGACGUGUUGCUUCCACGUGUCUCGGAGUGUGAUUGUCUGGAACGGGUCAGGAUUCAGGAACUUCCUCUCCAUUCCUUCCCUUCCGCAUUCUGACAGCUUUUACUCCAAUAUAUUACUGUCAAAUCAAAAAUGCAAACUCCUUCCCUCCUCAAUGAAGAAACUUCCUCCACACUAAGCAAGACUUGCAUGAGGUAUGCCAACAGGUAGCCAACAGGUAGAAGCACACAAAGAAGGGAGGGGUCUCCCCUGUUCAGUGCUGAGUCCCAGAGAUGAACUCUUAGGAGUGGCCCAGGGCUAACUCGAGGUACAUCUGGCAUUAUAAGAACACAGGACAUAUCUGGAGGAAUUACCAUGACCAGCUCCUACGCCCCCCCAACCCCACUGCAUUCCAUCUCUAGCUGCAUCUGGAUGUUCACACCCUAGAAUCUUCCACUACUGUCCCCAUUUUUGUAAGGCCAAGAGCCAGAGGCCAGAUGGAACCGUGCCUGAUCAGGAUCCUUGCUGGGAAGCAGGAUGGAAGAAGGUUUUGUCAUCCAUCCAGGGCAGAGCCCUUGAAGACAGACAUAGGCUUAUUUUGAAAUCUGGUGUUUCUACAAAGACGUAACCAUUUAGGGACAAGCUCGAUGGUACUUGGUUACAAAGACAUGGUGGCUCGUGGAACGACAGGCACACUGUGGAGUGCCUGCUAAAUGCCCUGCAAUGUCCUCUCACAUUCUGUUCUAACAAUGUGUUGAGAUUGAGGUAGGCAAUGUGUUGAAGAAGUUCAGAAUGGUCGAAUACCCUCAACAUAGUGGUCUUCCCUGCCCAGUGCAGGGCUGGCAUGAAUAAUAAAUCUCAUCCAGGCUUCAGUCUCAUGCCAACGAAGAAGGAGUUACCCGUUAGGGCUCAGCUCCUGUCAGAAGCACCACGGGGAGGGCUGGACUUCGAAGGGCUUUGUGAGAUGAGACAGGACAUGAUCUGAUCUGAGGGCAGCCUUCCUGGGUCCCUUGUAGAGAGCUUGGGAAUGCAUGGGUCUGAGGAAGCCAGUGAGGAAUGAGGGUCUGUGGAGGAAGUAAAAUGCCAGGGGUGGGUUCUGACCAGCUCCUCUACCUAGGCAAAUUUAUCAGUAUCUAGGCACAUAACUUUCUCUGUUCUAAUUUAUUUAGUUUUAAAUGUUUAUGUGUACUUCCAUGGAGUCUAGACACACUGGCUCUUCUAAAGUUGUAGCUACAGGCAGUUUGCUGCCAGACAUGGGUGCUGGGAACUGAACUCAGGUCCUCUGGAAGAGCAGUACACAUUCUUGACUACUGAGCUAUCUCUCCAGGCCAGAACAUCACUUUCUGAUAGACUGUGGUUCCAAUGACCUACUUCUGUACAACACAGCAUCCUCAAAUUGAAUGACUUAGAGCAAUGACAUAUACUCUUCUCUGUGGCUUAGAAAUUCUGGACAAUGAUGUCCAUUUUCGUUUGGAGUCUGAAGCUUUGUUACAGACACAGAAGAAGUGGCUGAGGCUUAACUUGCAGUAGGCUGAAGGGCCAGUGACUCCCCAAAUAUUUCUCUCUUCAUACAACUCUGGUGGUCUCUGAAGACGAGCUUGGACUUUGUGUGGUCUGAAUAGGUAUAGGCACCACAGACUCAUGUGUUUGAAUGCCGAGCCAUAGGGAGCUGCACUAUUAUGAGGUGUGGCGUUGCUGGAGUAGGUGUGACUUUGUUGGAGAAAGUGAGGGCAGGCUUCAGAGAUAGGCUUUAAGGUCUCCUAUGCUCAAGCUAUGCCCAGUGUGGUACAUGAUCAUGCCUUUGGAUCAAGAUGUAGAACUCUCAGCUCCUUCUCCAGCACUGUGUCUGCCUGCACAAUGCCAUGUUUCCCACCAUGAUGAGAAUGGACGAAACCUCUGAAAUUGUAAGCAAGCCCUAAAUUAAGUGUUUUCUUUUACAAGAGUUGCUGUGGUAAUGGUGUCUCUUUACAGCCAUUAAAACUCUAGCUAAGACAGGCUUCCUUACAGUAUGGAACCUUGUCUACCAUAUAUAUUCGAUAACUGAAGCCUAAUGAAAGCACAUUCCAGACAAAAAGCCCUGUGGCAUUUUGUAUCCUAUAAGUGGGUGUCAUGAAGUAUCAGUGUGACACAUUUUGCUGAGCAAACAGACACAAAGGUUGAACCAGUUUCUGGGAGAGUGGACACAGCCCCAACCCCCAAGGAAGGAGGUCCCAAAGGAUUUGUGAACAUACUUUAAGGCUGCCAGGCAGAGGCUGGCAUAAAGACCGGAGUAAAGGGACCAUUGAUGGGGUGCAGGGCUCAUAGUGGGAAGGGCAACGUACCCCAGCCAUUUCCUCCCAAACCACAACAGGGUCUUCAAGGGAAGCAGGCAGGCACUGCCACGCCAGAGGGAUAUUGAGGGAAAAUCUAUAAAAGGUUCUGAGCCACCUGGGAAGCGCUGCCUGACAGAUCAGCUAAUGAGGACAAAGUAUCUGUCCUUGGAGAUUUCCUUCACAUGCAAAUUGACCUAAAUUGGGAGCCAGCUGACCUCUGUGCAAAAGAAAGGGGGAAAAAAAAAGGCACAACCAGCGUCAGGUUUCUGCCAUCUGAAGAUUAACUAAAACCUUGGUCCCACUCCAAAAUCAAGAUAAAAGCAUGGCUUCUCCAAGGGUCACGAUGGCUUUAGAGCAAAUUAGCUUAUGAAGGAAGAAACAAAUAUGGGAAACACCUCCAGCUUGACAGCUGGGUUGGCUGAAAGAGGCAGCCGUCGCAGGGUGUGUGAAGCACUGUCAGGAGUAUAACCUGUUGGUAUGGCGGUGCGCUCCAGGGCUGGCCCAGGUGGCUUGUGGGAGCCGGCACAGGAAAGGCACAUCUGUGCGGGCUCUCGGCAGUAUGGACUGAUGCCAGGCAAAGCAGCGACACUUCACCCGAGUCUGUGGACACGCUGUUUCCCCAAAUAAUCUUUGGACUAUUGGUUCAAGUUAAAAGGAUGUGUAGCAGAUUUUGGGAUUAAUUAACUUCCAGUGUUCUGCCUUUUCCCCUUUAAUAUAAAUUCCUGACUUUGGACUGGGCACUAUGAGGAAAGAAAGCUUUUCUGGUCUCCUCUGCAGUUUGGGUGUAGUGCAGGUUACUAAGGGUUCUGUGUGCCUCCUCUUGGUCAUCUCCUUCAAAAUAAACUGGCCUAUCUGGUUUCCCUGUUCUUCCUUCAGGUCUGAGGUCUGGGAAAUAGGACCUGUUGGAGCACCUUGGGGUCCCUGAUGAAGGUAGACUGCCUACUGUCAGCCAUACCAAGUUUUUUUUAUGGCUGGGAGGGGCUGGUCAGUCUCAGACAAUAUGAAGAACGCACAUAGGAAUGAGUGCUAGAAAGGAUCGACAGAGAAGAGAGUGUUGAUGGAGUCAGGAAGAUGAGGCUCAUUGUCAGUCUGCAGAUGAAGCCACGCCCCUUACAUCCUCAGUCCGGCUGCCCUGGGCUGUGAGAACCUGCAAAGCAGACAGUCAGCUGCACACGUAACCCCACUGCUCUGAAACCUGGUCCGUCUGCUCAAGUGAGGCACACUCUGCAAGUGUCUAGGCUAGCCUCUCCCAUUCCCCAGGGACCAGGAGAGGGGGAGAGGCCAGACCUUGUGCAAGAAAGGCAAGUAGUGGAGAGACUACAGCAGCAGCUCAGCAGAUUAUCACCGUGGGGUAAGAGACCAGGAAGCAAUUACUGCCAUGAGUGUAGAAUCUGUCUGAUUUGCUUCUAAAUGAGGGCUGUUACAGAAAUCUUCAAACUCCUGCUGCAGUGGUUAAAGGGAAGGACACUUCGGAUGCAAACACUCAAUUACCAGGAAGAAAAGCCCAUGGGUACAGAAAGUCGGCAAUCAGCCGCUCCAGCCUCCUUCUGUUUCUUCCAAUGAAGUCAGCAUUUUCUGUCUUUCCCAGCCCAGCUGGGAUUUCAAAUUCUUAAAUUAAAAGCACCAAAGAUUUAAAAAAAAAAAAAAAAAAAAAAGAGCUUCCUUAUUCCUCCUGCUAAAUGGACCUCUGGCAGUUUUAUUCUAACUAAAGCUAAAUGAAUUCUUUAAGAGGAUGACUUUUUCCUUAGGAGCCCUCAAAGGAAGUUCUUGACAUCACAGGACAGCAACAAGUCUUAGGAUAAAUAAUAUCCACCCAUCAAACGCCAGCUGCGGUGACAGUCUGGGUUAUUUCUAGCAAACCUUUCCUUCAUAGAAAGCUCUUUGUCAUCCCUGCUUGCAAGCACUAGGCUAGCAUGAGCACCUCUCCCACCCCAAGCCCCUCACAGCAUCCGUAGGAAUUAUCCUUAGUGCCUUGGUAGCUUGGAUCUGUUUGGUGACAAGCAGCAAAGGUCUUCCCCCAAAGUGUGUCUUUUGUUCUCAAUGAUGCAGGCUGGUGAGAGGCUUGAGGUCAUACAGAGACCAAGCACACCUGGCCAGUUACUCACAGAGCCUCCACCCCCACCCCGCCCCACCCCGCCCGACUGAUAGCCCUUCGUGGCCCGCACAGCCUACUCGCCGCCUUUGAUGCUCUCGUCCAGCUUUUCGCUGUCUCAGUGAUUAUGGCUUGACUUCCUCCCUGAAAACACUGGCCCAACUCUUCUCACCGUUAGCCCCUUCAUGUGAUGGUGAAGCUGACUGGAUAAGGGACAGUGAGAGAGUUCCCACAGCACACACCCGAGCAUGUUUGUGAGGGCAUUUUUAGAGAUGGUUAGAUCAUAGGAACUCUGACCUAUCCAGAUUGAACAAAGAAACUGGGGGGAGGGUGCAGGGGAAGAUGGGGGUGCAGGUGAGGAUCGGGGUGCAGUACGGGGUUAACUGGAGAAAGUGUGCCAACAGAAGCAAGCUUAGCUUGUGAAAGAUAUACCUAAACUCUUCCCUUCUGUCAUCCUUCUCUUUCCUGUCGCCAUGCAGUGAGCAGCCUUUGCCAGGCUUCCACUACUGUGAGUCUCUGCCUGGCCUCAGGCCCGAAAAACCACUUGCUCUGUGUUCUCCCUUUGGGGGUUUUAAUAAUCUGGGCAACAUUCCAAUGCAAGGGACCCCACACCUUAGCAAGCACGCCAACUGCCUUGGGUCUCUCUAUGUCACCCAAUGUUCCACUGGCCAAAGUAAGCAGAGGACAUUAACAGAGGCAUUUUCUUUGGCCAUUCUGCUAACAGUAAAAAGGCUCUUAAAGAGCAAAGAACUGAGAAUGAUAAUUCAGUCUACCACAUGGUGGACAGUGGAGGUGGCCCAUGGGACAAAUACCAAGCUCUAAAUUUCACCAUUAGCCAAAUGACAGCUCUUAGGGUGAACCAUGAGAACAAGCCAAUGGUUUCUACUUCAGGAUCCUGCCCUGACUUCCCUCAAAGAUGGACCUGCAGAUGUAAGAUGAAAUAAACCCUUUCUUCCUUUGCGUUGUGCUUAUCACAGGAGCAGAAGAGAACUAGAGGAGGCCUAGAGAGGGCUAAGAAACAAGUGCAAGGUCCCAGGGGUCUGAAAGGGGGUGGGUGACUUUAUACAGAGCCACUUGGGACUGAGCUAAGAAGCCUGGAGCUAAGGGGAGCACGGAUAUAGAAAACGAGACCCUUGAAAUACAAGAUGAGAGGCGUCCCUCAAGCUCAGCAUAGUCUACCACCCCCACACAGAGGCAAGACCAGUGCUCUCCCCAGAGAGCUUUUCUCAGCAGCCCCAGGACCUCCCGUCUCCUCAGGGUCAUGUCACUUGGCCUGUCUGAUGACUCUCCAGACCUUCACAUUUCUGUCACCACAUCUGGUGUCCCACAGAAGGUGUGGCUAUGCUUUAAUUAGGGGUCAUUUCUUGGGGGCUGAAGAAGUUGGUUGGGUAGGACUUAUGGUAAUGGUAUAUCAGUUUGUUAUGGUAAGGCCGACUUGUGGGGUGGGGUGUUCAUCAGUAAAAAUCUAUUGUCUCACAAUGUGGGAGACCAUAAGUCCAAGAUUAAGGUGCUGGCCGAGGGCUUUCCUCUGAGGGCUGUGAGGACAGUCGGUUCCACAUCCCUCCCUGGCCAUCUGUGGUUUCUUGGCCAUCUGUGCUGCAGGCAUCCUCCUCUUCUGUUUUUAUGUCAUACAAUGUUCUCCCUGAGUGUGUGUUUCUGAGACCCCAAAUCCCACUACAAUAAAGACACGGUCACAUCAGCGGCCCACCCUAUCCUAAUGGGACCUCUUCCUACUAAUUAUAUCGUCAAGGACCCUGCUCUUAAAUAUGGACAUGUUCUGUGGACCUGGAGGCAGGGUCCAGAUUGUGAGAAAUGAAUUUUGAGGAGAAAAAAAUGUAACUCAAAAAGAGAGCAAGAUCCUAGUAUGUAAUUUCUAAGUUCCAACUCUCUCUGUCCCUCCCUGACACGCACACAGGCUCGUGCGCGCGCGCGCGCGCGCACACACACACACACACACACACACACACACACACACACACACACACACACAGACCUGCAAAAGAAACAGCACAAAGCAUCAUUUCUGGCUCUGGUAAGGUGCCAAAGCUCUCACAGCCUGCCAUUCUCCUGAAGUCUUAUCGCCAGAGCACAGCAAGGAAAGGAAGCUGCUCUGGCAGGCGCAACACUGCCAACCAACUCCCUGCUAGGGUGACUCACUGGCAGAACACACUUCGAAAAUGCUCGAGGGGUGGAGAGCCAGCUCAUCAGUGUGGUACUAUCCUUGAGGAAGCAUACAUGUGAGAGCCAAGAGGAGGACCGUGCCCUUCCCCUGGAUCACAGUUCCCCCUUCCAUUUAGCUCUCUGCAGCUCGGGCUAGACUGCUUCCUGGAGUUCCAGAGUACCAGAGGGCAGAGGCGGACAGGGUGGUGUGGGCAGGGUCAGGAGAAGGAGCACUGCCUCAACUCAAGUUCACACCUUAGCUCCCUACUCACUUGCAGUAUGCACUUGGUCUAAGUAGUCUUUAGUUCUUCAUCGAGAAAGUGGGCCAGAAGAGCACAAGGUCCUGGGGUGAAGGGGGAGGGGUUAGAACAGAGCAGAACCACGUGAAUGGGACAAAGGUCCCUGACACCAAGCUUGAACCCCAGAAUGUUCUCUCCCUAUAAAGUCCUUAUGGUCCCUCCCAAAGCCCUGACUGGUCACCAUGACCUGGGACUAGAAUACGAAACCACUGGAGCCUCCUUGAGAGGAGGCUCUCCCUCCAGCCUCACCUGAGGCCGCUGGUGGGCCUCAAUUCCUUCCUGGCUUUACGUCAGAGUCCUUCCUCGGCUCCCUGUCCCAGCAGUCUCUGCAACACUGCAACUCACAACAUGGAAAGUGGCUUUUGUCAGAGCAAGCAACACAGAGUGAGAGGGAAGGGCUAUCUAUUCAUGGCCUGUUCCUAGAAAUGACACCCAACCUGUUUGCUGAAUUUCUUUUGCUUAAAACCAGGUCAUAAUUUGUACAUAUGUUCUCACACAGCAGUAUUCACAAUAGUCAAAGGGGGGAGGGGCCAAACGUGUUUGCUGACAGAGAAAUCAAACGUGAUAUAUCAACAAUAAAAUGGAAUAUUAUUCAGUCUUUCACAGGAAGGAAAUUGCCUACAUGUUAUAAAAUAGAUGAACUUGAUGACAUGCUAAGUUGAACUAAGCAUCUUACAAUAAAGUCACGAUAUUUGAUUCUCCUCUACAAGUCCCCAAAACCUCCAAAGCAACCAAGAUAGAAAGUGGAAAAGCAGUUACCAGGGUUAUGGGGUGGAGCAGAGAGGGAACACUUUUUUUCUUUGUUUCUUAAGUGCAUUCAGAAUUUCAAGAUGUGAAAGUUCUAGCAAUUGGCUGCAUAAUGGAAAGAGUAAUUUCUGCCACUGAACUUUAAAAAGUACUUUCAAAAGUUAAGAUAGUCAAUUUUAUGCAUUUUUCUAGACAGGAGGGAGGGAGGGACUAGUCAAACCAUCCAGAUCACAGACAAAGAGGUGGGAUUACACACAGGCACAAGUGUCAGAAGGUGUCAUCACUAGACACCAAAGCCACAUUCAGGUAGAAUUUUCAAGGUCACCUGAAUGAUGUUCACGCCCAUCAUCUGCAUAGCAGCUGCUGCUGUAUCUAAGAUACACAGUAUCCUAGAUCCCAAGCAUAGGACAGUCACAGUGAUGCUGCCCAAAGGUACCCUCUGAAAGGACCUACAGCAGACUAUGCUGUCAAUCAAUGAAGCCCUGACAAAACCUGACCCCACCACAAAGUCACUGCAAUGCACUCUGAUGGCCACCCUGGCUCCAGCUCCUCACAGAGGAUCCAUGAUGGGAUGGAGGCUGGCUUCAACCUACUCAGAGGAGGAGAAAAGCAUUUUGAACAACCCAUGUUCUUACCUUGAAGUCAUAUUUAUUCAUUUCUUCUAAAUAAACAAUGUAAAAUAUAUUUUUUUCCCACAUCAACUGAUGUUUCAGGACACAGAGUCAACUGAGCCGACUUCCCAGAGCAUUGUAACCAAUGAUGAUGCCAUAAGACAUGAGUGUGCAUUAUGUGCAGUCAAGAAGUCUCUGAGAUGCUUCAGGGAGACACUGUAUGGAGCCCUGGUAGUUCACAUUUAGAGCGCACAAAGUGCACUCUUGAGUAAUCCAGGCUCAUUUGAGCAGGGAGAGAACCUAGGAGGGAUGCAGAAACACAGGCUGGCCAAGGGAACUCAUAUCCAAGACUCUCAUCUUGUACUUACUUUGGGACACAUCCCCAUAGUCGGAAAGGCAGAAACUUCCUUUAUUGGACACAGAACAGUACUUCUUGUUGCUUUCAUAAACUGUGGCUAGUUUCACACACAUACUGAAACAAAGACAUGAUGUGGUACCACAGAGUGCAAGUUAAACAUAACAGAUUUUUCCCAUUUGCUAACACUUACAGAGCCCAUUAUGGGUGAGGCAGAGGGCCACUAGGUUGGACCUCUGGGACUAGAAAAGCAAAUAGGACACACUCUCUAUUCCUUGGUAGCUAGGAAAGAUUCCUAACACAAUGGUCACCACACAUGGAGGUGUCACUCAUUCCCUGAUGUCAAUUGGGUAGUGACUUAGAAAGCUCAGAGUGCAGGGGAGAUGGCUUGUGUCUAUCACCAAAACUUUCUUCUUUCUUCUUCAUUUCCUUUUGGGAGGGGGAGAACUAAUUGCAUCUACAGGGCUCAAAGUCUUUAAUUUGAUACUGAAUGCUUUCACACAUGGCCUGGGGGAGACAGGGUAUCUCAGCUACUUUUCCUCUGCUGUGACAAAAGGCCCUGACCAAAGCUACGUAAGAGAGAAAGGUUUGCUUUGGUGCACAGUCCCUAAGGGAUCGGAUCCAUCAGGUGGACUAACAAUCCAGAUGAGCCUCGACUACAAUAAUAAUGUCCAGAGGGCAGAAGAAAAGCCUUCAUCCACCACCAACUAUUUCAAAAUCUUAGUAUUGGUAAACUCAGAACAGGGGGUGGGGGGAGCAGAAUUUAAAAGCACUAACUUCAGCCAGCCUACAGAGGGACCAGCCAUUCCUCCAAAGGACAAACAACAACCCGGUCAGCAAAAAUGCCCCAGGAAACUCCUGUACAGACAGUUCUCAACUCUGCGACUGUCAUUCCCCAUUGGCAGCCCACACUGGGUCUUCCUCAGCAUGUUUUCCUUUAUAAAAACUCGACCUUUGUAAAGGAGAGCCAUACACAGAAGUUUAAAUUUUCCUAACUUAAUAGCGAGAUCAAACUCUAAGGCUAGCGCUAGGUUAGAGCAGUUGCUCUCAGACUUGUGCAUUAGAACCCACCAGCAUGACAUUAGAAUGCAGUGCUGGACCCAACCACACUAGGUGACUCGCUUGGUCUGCAGCAGAGGCCCCAGCACCUGCAGUCCAAGAGCCUCCGUACAUGGCAGUGGCUGCUGCAGCUGGCUGAAAAGCUAUUCUUAUUGUAGCACCGAUGAAGAAAACAGACAGGAAGGAAGUUUUCCAAAACAGCAUCCUCCAAUUCACCCACUCCUCGCCUCUCUCAGCCCUCCCUGCAGAUUCUGGCAAAGCCUGCUCUGACACACAUUUACCUCUCCUACGGCCCUCGGCACACAGACGUUAGAGGUCAUAGUUCCUGCUUGGUCCACAUCCCACUGGUGAUGUGAAUAUGGUCCAUUUGCUCAUUCACUCGUGCAUUUGUAAUGACAUAAUGAACAGCAACGAAGUAAGAGCCAGGACCUUGAAAAUAACCUGUAUGUGCCCUGAAACUUCCCCCUACCUACUUCCACCUCAAAACACACUGCAACCAGUUAAGCCUCUUGCUUGACUUGAGACUUUAUUAAAUCUACAAACAUGACCAACCAUUCAGUAGAACACUAGAAGACAAAGGAACUCUACCAACAAGCAAUAAUAUGGGUAAAUUGUAGUCAUAACACUAUGAAGGAUAAGAAGUGGAGAUCAUAUGCAAAUAAAACCAACUUGUAACAUUAGAAAUACAUGCUUUUCUGAAUGCCUUAAAAUAGAAGGUUUAGAUCUUUUUUAACUUCACUGUAAUCACUGAAGGGAUCCAUGUUGGGAGUGGAGUGUGGCUCGGUUGGCAGAUAGUCACUAUUCACUUAGCAUGUGUGAAGCCCAGGGUUUCCUCCCUACACCUAGUAAAACCAGGCAUGGGGCUUAUGCUUAUAAUCCCAGCAGUGGGAAAGUGGGGCAGAAGAAUUACAAGUUCAAGGUCAUUCUUGGAUACACAGAGAGGGCGGGCGGGUGGGCUGGAGGGAGGGAGGGAGGCAUGUUUACUGAACAGGAGCCUGUGUCUUCUGACAGGAAGGAGGGCCCCCAUCCCUCAGUGUCCUUCCUCUUCCACCCUGCAGCUGCAGCCUUCAGUUUCCACAAAAUAACUCCCAAAUCAAGAGCUUUUAUAUGCACAGGCAAUUCACACAAGAGGGAACCAAGAAGUAAACAAACUCAGGGGGCCUGGGGGUGUCCGUGCUCCUCAUAAUCAGACAGCAAUGACAGCAUAUGGAGAGGCUAGCAUUUCAUGACUACUAAGUUAGAAAAA